rnacentral:rRNA from 1 species
GCCUGCGGAGUACGACCGCAAGGUUGAAACUCAAAGGAAUUGACGGGGACCCGCACAAGCGGUGGAGCAUGUUGUUUAAUUCGAAGCAACGCGAAGAACCUUACCAGGUCUUGACAUCCUUUGAAGCUUUUAGAGAUAGAAGUGUCUCUUCGGAGACAAAGUGACAGGUGGUGCAUGGUCGUCGUCAGCUCGUGUCGUGAGAUGUUGGGUUAAGUCCCGCAACGAGCGCAACCCUUAUUGUUAGUUGCCAGCAUUCAGAUGGGCACUCUAGCGAGACUGCCGGUGACAAACCGGAGGAAGGCGGGGACGACGUCAGAUCAUCAUGCCCCUUAUGACCUGGGCUACACACGUGCUACAAUGGCGUAUACAACGAGUUGCCAACCCGCGAGGGUGAGCUAAUCUCUUAAAGUACGUCUCAGUUCGGAUUGUAGUCUGCAACUCGACUACAUGAAGUCGGAAUCGCUAGUAAUCGCGGAUCAGCACGCCGCGGUGAAUACGUUCCCGGGUCUUGUACACACCGCCCGUCACACCAUGGGAGUUUGUAAUGCCCAAAGCCGGUGGCCUAACCUUUAGGAAGGAGCCGUCUAAGGCAGGACAGAUGACUGGGGUGAAGUCGUAACAAGGUAACCAAGGGCGAAUUCCAG